GACGAACGCUGGCGGCGUGCUUAACACAUGCAAGUCGAACGAUGAUGCUGGAGCUUGCUCCAGUUGAUUAGUGGCGAACGGGUGAGUAACACGUGAGCAAUCUGCCCUUGACUCUGGGAUAACUGCGGGAGACUGUAGCUAAUACCGGAUACUUUCACCGGAAGGCAUCUUCUGGUGCUGCAAGAAUUUCGGUCAGGGAUGAGCUCGCGGCCUAUCAGCUUGUUGGUGAGGUAACGGCUCACCAAGGCGACGACGGGUAGCCGGCCUGAGAGGGUGACCGGCCACACUGGGACUGAGACACGGCCCAGACUCCUACGGGAGGCAGCAGUGGGGAAUAUUGCACAAUGGGCGCAAGCCUGAUGCAGCAACGCCGCGUGAGGGAUGAAGGCCUUCGGGUUGUAAACCUCUUUUAGCAGGGAAGAAGCGAAAGUGACGGUACCUGCAGAAAAAGCACCGGCUAACUACGUGCCAGCAGCCGCCGCGG
rnacentral:rRNA from 1 species